ensembl:lncRNA TMEM72-AS1 TMEM72 antisense RNA 1
CCGCCCCGUCCGCCCCGCUCUGGGAACGCCGCUCCAGCAGAUGUGACAUAGACUGGAAGUGAUGGACCCAGACAACAAUCAGAACCAAAGCACCAGAUGAGCCACCUCAGCCACGUGAGCCAUGCCAGCCACCCUACCUGUGACCCCAUCUGUGGCCCCAGUUAUCAUGGAGUAGAGCCCUUUCUCUGUCUACAAAACCAACUUCCUCGCCCAGCUCAUGGGAACACUUAUUCUGUUGUAUAGAAUGAAGUGUUGCUUGAUUCUAGAAUCAUGCCAUUAAGAACAUUCAUGAUUCAUGAGAGGAGAUCAAAAUAUCAACAUAAACAGGAGUUUGAAAGAAGUUGAUUUCAACCCUUGUGGAUGACUAUGAGAGAUUCAAGGCUUCAGUGGAGAAUGCACCUACAGAUAUGGUGGAAACAGCAAAAGAAAUAGAAUCAGAAGUGGAGCCUGAAGAUUAAACUGAAUUGCUGCAAUCUCAUGAUAAAACUUGAACAGAUGAGGAGUUGCUUCUUACAGCAACCACUGCCCUGAUUAAUCAACAGCCGUCAACAUGUCAACAUCAAGCCUAGACCCUCCACCAGAAAAAGAUUACAAGUCUCCGAAGGCUCGGAUAAUCAUUAGUAUUUCUCAGCAAUGAAGUAUUUUUGAAUUAGGGUCUGUGGAUCAACACUGUCUCCCUGGCCUCUACCCAGCGCGCAGGACCCCUUAGCAGAGCAGGAGAACUCAGGAUCCAGCCAGCUGCCGGCACACUUUCGUCCUCCUCCGCACACGAGGAUCCCCAGGCCCAGCGGUGUUAGCCCAGAGAGGAGCGGCGUUUGGGAUGUGAUCCACAGCUGAUCCCUCGUGGCCCCUCCUCUCCCGAAUCCUGAAACAUGAGGAGGCCCUUCAGCUGCUGGCUCGGAGUCCGACUAUGGGAACUUUCUCCGGUCUACGGGGGCAGCAAGGGUCUCGCCUCAGGGACUUGGUUUAUUUAUCUAGCUGGACUCCAUCCCUUAAUAUCCUACUUACAGAGGAAGAGGCUUUAGCAGCUAAAUGCAGCCCCAUCCCCUCCUGUGGAGACUGUGAGCAGAAAAAGAACAGAUAUUUACAGAGGCCCGAGCCCCCCUUGUUGUUUUCUGCAAGGCUGUCGAGCUGGUGGAGCUUCAGGAUCCUGGUCAGGAACCCCGAACCCAGCGCUGGAGGCCCUGAAGAUCAGGGCACCCGACCCUCUUCCCAGCCGCCAAAGGCCUGUGUUGGUCUGAUUGUGGAUUCCAAGCUCUAAUUUCCAUCCAUCCUCCCAAUCCGAAUUCCCUUUGCAGACAUAAACACCAUCAGCAAUGUAGAGAAUGUGUUUCCUCAUCUUUGAAUAUUAACACUCAUCUGUUUAAUUGAGCUACUUUUUACAUACAUGUAAGAUGUGCUGCAAUUGCAAAAGAAACAUGUGCUUCGUGUUCUAUAAGCCAUAUCUUCCGCAAGACCUGCCAUCAAAUGAUUGCUCAAACAUUUGUUGAAUGGGAUGAGCAAUGGAGGUUCAGACAGGUGCCCUGACCUACCCAGGCUGGAGGGUAGGGAGCUAGAAAUUCAUACAACCAUGCCUUGUUCUACUUGUUUUGUGAAAGAAUCAUGUGACCAGUGACAAAGAGGCUGGGCAGCUGGGUCAGGCAGCAGGGACAGCGACUGAGCUGGGGGGACUACAGUGCUGUGCUCCUCUGCACCCGUGCUGGGAUGUCUGAGGCCAAGCUGACACUGGCCCCCCACAAUCCCUUGGGGCUGCUCCUCCUCAGGGAGUGGCUCUCCGGGUUUCCUGCUUGACUCCUGCUGCUCUUGUGUUGAAGGGCCGUCUCUGGGCAGCUCCCCCUGGCCCCUGGCCAGAGAGCCAGGCCCUGUCAGGCACGCACAUGGAGGAUGAGGGAGGUGCAGUUGUUUUCACAGGUGCAGACUCUAGAGGGACCCCACGUGGACUCUGUGGCUUCUGCCCCGACGCACUCGCGGGAGGACACAGCUCUGCCCGGAAGGGAGAGUGCUGAGCUGGGUCCCUGCUGCUCAUCUCUGUGGCAUCACCCUGUCAGUCCUUCCCUGUCACACAUAUGUUCCGCAAGACCUGCCGUCAAAUAUUUGCUCAGUCAAACAUUUGUUGAAUGGGAUGAGCCAUGGAGGUUCAGACAGAUGCCGUGACCUGAAGUGUCAAAUGAAGGGAU